AACGAACGCUGGCGGCAUGCCUAACACAUGCAAGUCGAACGAGAUCUUCGGGUCUAGUGGCGCACGGGUGCGUAACGCGUGGGAAUCUGCCCUUUGGUUCGGAAUAACAGUUGGAAACGACUGCUAAUACCGGAUGAUGACGAAAGUCCAAAGAUUUAUCGCCAGAGGAUGAGCCCGCGUAGGAUUAGCUAGUUGGUGUGGUAAGGGCGCACCAAGGCGACGAACCUUAGCUGGUCUGAGAGGAUGAUCAGCCACACUGGGACGGAGAAACGGCCCAGACUCCUACGGGAGGCAGCAGUGGGGAAUAUUGGACAAUGGGCGAAAGCCUGAUCCAGCAAUGCCGCGUGAGUGAUGAAGGCCUUAGGGUUGUAAAGCUCUUUUACCCGGGAGGAUAAUGACAGUACCGGGAGAAUAAGCUCCGGCUAACUCCGUGCCAGCCGCCGCCGUAA
rnacentral:rRNA from 1 species